UUCUGUUUACGAAUGUUUGUGGCGCAUGUGGGAACUCGUGCCACCGAAUUGUAAAAAAACUUAUGAUCAUUUCGAGCCUCGUCCGACUCGAAGAAAGAAGUUUUCAAUUAUUCUUCUUCGUUUUUCCAUCAGAAAUUGAAGUUUGACAACAUGGAACUGUAAGGAAUUAUAUAAAUGAUUUGAGCAGCAGAGGUGAUGCAGUGUUAAUUGUUGCUGCUAUUCCUUUUAAUGAAAUAUGGCAUCUUGGCAUCAGUGGCAAAAAGAAGGUGAUCCUCCGUCCGCCGGUCCUCCCCAUCCUUGGGGUCAAAGGAUAUGGGGAGAAGGACAGGCCGAAGAACAAGAAGGCCUGAGUACGGCCGAAAUUGUAGCCGCUCAAUCUCAAGAUUACAUAGACGAGAAAGAAUAUCAAUAUUUGCAGACAAUAAAUUAUUUGGCAGAUUUUGAGAUUGGAGUAUGGACUUUUUUGAAAAAUACCUGCUGCAUCCUGGCCGAAUGCCAUAACUCCAUCUGGUCUCUGUACUGUUUCUGACAUACAUUAAUGCAAUCAUGGGAGUAUUUAUAUAUAGAUAUCACACUAAAGUCAUACUUUAAGAAUUGUGGCAACUGGCAAGAAAGUUAAAAAGAUUCUGUGGGCCUAUAGCUUUUAAAACAUUCUGAAGGAAGAGUAAUGACAGAAUUACAAUAAAAUAUUUACUUUAACUGUGUUUGAAAUUAUAUAAAAACAUCAAUAAAAAAGAUUAAAUAAAGCUAAGAAUUUUUAUUUGGUUUAGUGGGAUGUGCUAAUAAUAGUUUUAUCAACGUGAAAUAGCAGAAUUUAGUUGAUUUUGAAACCAUUCCAACUGUGAACAAAUUACUAAUCAUAUUUAUAAAAUUGCAAAUUUUUUUGGUAAAAUCAUAAAAUACUCUUAAAGAAGAUAAUUUUUCAUGAUUGAUUACAUUCAAAAAUUUAAAUAUAUUUAAUAUCAAACUUCAGAAUAAUUUUCUAAAGAGAUGAUAUAAAAUUCUUUAGACACAUUUUACAUUCAUUAUUCUGUUCUUGUAUAAGAUUUCUGGCACCUAUCACAUGCUUCGGAAUCUAUUAUAAUCGCUGACUGACCUUACUUAAGUUGACUUUCCUGUAUUUGUCAAAACAGUCAUAAAUAUUAAAUACCUAAAGAAGUAUCUGAGAAUUUAUUCCUACUUUAAUUUGAACAAGUAGUUAUAUCACUUUGUACAUGAAGAUUACUUUUCUUGUUAUAAAUGUUGAAAAUAUAUUUAAGUUAAUUUUAUAAAGCAUAAAAACUUGUAAUUUGUUUACGUAAGCUUUAAUUAAAAUUCGAUACUUUUAUAUUGAAAACGGAAUUUUUAAAUUCGGAUAUUUGAGAAGGUAAUAUUAUUCUUCUUUGCAAUAGCUAGUGUUAUUGUACGUGACAUUUACAAUCUUAAAUUGAUCAAAUUGUUAAGCAGAAUUAUGCAACAAUGACAGCAUCACUUACUUGUUAGUCAAGCAGUUAAGUAAUUCACUUGUAGAAGAUUGCUAGAUUAAACAUGCUUCUGGAAUAUAAACUUUAUAUAUAAAUUUACAUAUGAUUAAAUAAGCUAUUAAUUUAAUAAAAUUCUGUAUAUU